GUAGGGUGCAAGCGUUAAUCGGAAUUACUGGGCGUAAAGGGCGCGCAGGCGGUUCGUUUAGUCCGAGGUGAAAUCUCCCGGCUCAACUGGGAGGGGUCUUUGGAUACUGGCGGACUUGAGGUGAGCAGAGGUGAGCGGAAUUCUGGGUGUAGUGGUGAAAUGCGUAGAUAUCCAGAGGAACACCAGUGGCGAAGGCGGCUCACUGGGCUCUACCUGACGCUGAGGCGCGAAAGCGUGGGGAGCGAACCGGAUUAGAUACCCGGGUAGUCCACGCCGUAAACGAUGGACACUAGGUGUGGGGGGUAUUGACCCCCUCUGUGCCGCAGCUAACGCAAUAAGUGUCCCGCCUGGGGAGUACGGCCGCAAGGCUA
rnacentral:rRNA from 1 species